UACGAAGGGGGCUAGCGUUGUUCGGAUUUACUGGGCGUAAAGGGCGCGUAGGCGGGCCGCUAAGUCAGAGGUGAAAUCCCAAGGCUCAACCUUGGAACUGCCUUUGAUACUGUCGGUCUUGAGUUCGAGAGAGGUAAGUGGAACUGCGAGUGUAGAGGUGAAAUUCGUAGAUAUUCGCAAGAACACCAGGGGCGAAGGCGGCUUACUGGCUCGAAACUGACGCUGAGGCGCGAAAUCGUGGGGAGCAAACAGG
rnacentral:rRNA from 1 species